AGUGAACGCUGGCGGUAGGCCUAACACAUGCAAGUCGAACGGCAGCACAGGAGAGCUUGCUCUCUGGGUGGCGAGUGGCGGACGGGUGAGGAAUACAUCGGAAUCUACUCUGUCGUGGGGGAUAACGUAGGGAGACUUACGCUAAUACCGCAUACGACCUACGGGUGAAAGCAGGGGAUCUUCGGACCUUGCGCGAUUGAAUGAGCCGAUGUCGGAUAGCUAGUUGGCGGGGUAAAGGCCCACCAAGGCGACGAUCCGUAGCUGGUCCGAGAGGAUGAUCAGCCACACUGGAACUGAGGCACGGUCCAGACUCCUACGGGAGGCAGCAGUGGGGAAUAUUGGACAAUGGGCGCAAGCCUGAUCCAGCCAUACCGCGUGGGUGAAGAAGGCCUUCGGGUUGUAAAGCCCUUUUGUUGGGAAAGAAAUCCAGCUGGCUAAUACCCGGUUGGGAUGACGGUACCCAAAGAAUAAGCACCGGCUAACUUCGUGCCAGCCGCCGCGGUAA
rnacentral:rRNA from 1 species